rnacentral:rRNA from 1 species
AGUGAACGCUGGCGGUAGGCCUAACACAUGCAAGUCGAACGGCAGCACAGUAAGAGCUUGCUCUUACGGGUGGCGAGUGGCGGACGGGUGAGGAAUACAUCGGAAUCUACAUUUUCGUGGGGGAUAACGUAGGGAAACUUACGCUCAUACCGCAUACGACCUACGGGUGAAAGCAGGGGAUCUUCGGACCUUGCGCGAUUGAAUGAGCCGAUGUCGGAUUAGCUAGUUGGCGGGGUAAAGGCCCACCAAGGCGACGAUCCGUAGCUGGUCUGAGAGGAUGAUCAGCCACACUGGAACUGAGACACGGUCCAGACUCCUACGGGAGGCAGCAGUGGGGAAUAUUGGACAAUGGGCGCAAGCCUGAUCCAGCCAUACCGCGUGGGUGAAGAAGGCCUUCGGGUUGUAAAGCCCUUUUGUUGGGAAAGAAAAGCAGCAGGUUAAUACCCCGCUGUUCUGACGGUACCCAAAGAAUAAGCACCGGCUAACUUCGUG